CAACAUUCUAAAUGGAUUUUAUUGAAGAGUGUUCCCUCAACAAUUAUUGUAUCACUAACAGUGUGGAAUCCAUUCAAAAGAUUCAUUAUGGCAAGCAUAUAUAUGUAUAUUAAUGUUCUAGACUUUAUAUAUAAGGCCCCCAUAUAAAAAUUUGCAGUAUACAUCAGAUGCUGUAUAUAGCAGUAAAGAUUGUGCAAUCCGAGAGGGUAGUAUUCAACCAAAGAUUUUCAGAUACGAGGUGAAACGCAAAUGCGUUCCAAAUACAUCACUUAACUGUUUUGGUUGAAUAAAGUUUUCUUUCUUCAAUGAGCCGAUACACAUACACGGGUCACACAGAGGUAAUAUACCAGGAAGUGAGAUCAUCGUGAAAAGCUACAUUGGAACGCACGGUGCAUUCCACCAUAUUAAAACAAAACCCGGAGGUAAAAGACGAGCAGGAACGGAACCUGGAAGCAAAGAAUGAGCGGGGGAUUUAAAGAAGAAAAAGACGACGAAAUUCAUCACAGCCAACUGAGGAAGCCUGUUUUAUCAGGCAAAACGCGUUUUGGAUACUUAAACUUGCAUGGACUAUAAAGGUGUCCAGAAUUUUCAUCUAGGAUAUAUUUUUAAUUGAUUUUAAAUUUUGUGAAUUUUAUUUCGACCUCAUAAAGCACCUUCUUUGAAGACACCCGUCUGACCUGGUGUAUAUAUACUUCUAAAGCCGGUAAAGGGUGGAGUAAUACAAAGCUCUCUGCAGAAUGAUUUGAAUGGUCCAAAGGCGCACACCAUCCGAGUCAUAUGAGGUUAUGACUCCAGGCUUGUGAGUGACACCACUCUUGUUUAUACUAUAUAUUAUACUUGACAAUACUGUAUUGCACUAUUUUUCUAUACUUUUACUUUACAGAAUACUUUCCAUCUUGUGUAUGCAUGUAUAUUAUGUAUGUUUAGUUAAUGAAGACCAGGAAAAGGCAGAGGUUAAGGCAAGAGUAUUAAUUUUCAAAGAAAUAUCGGAAAAUAAGUUUCCAAGCCUUCAAUUGCUAGAUGUAUCACCAAUACCAUUAAAUUGGCAUACGAUAGUUGUGGUCUAUGUCAUGGCAAGGGUGCGUAAUUCAUUGUUGCCCUAUAGAACAUUGUUAUUUAAUUUUGAUUUGUGUAGUGCAUACAUGAAUUGGCCGCUUGGUACAGGACAGUUUUCAGAAAGGGUUAAUUAUAUAGAAAUGUGAUAGAGGUCAGAUGGUUUACAACAUGAAUUGCUCUUUUGAUGAACCAAGACUCUGCAAGGUGUGGUAUUUUACACAUGAGCUGCCUGUAAGUCUGCUUUCAAUGUAAAUGUCAUUUUACCCCACUCCCUCUAGCAUGUAAGCUCAUUAAGCAGGGCCCUCAACCCCCUCUGUUCCUGUGUGUCCAACUUGUCUGGUUACAACUCCAUGUCUGUUCGUCCACCCAUUGUAAAGCGCUGCAGAAUUUGACGGCGCUCUAUAAAUAUAAUAAUAAUAAAUGUAGACUUGACAAAGGUUCCAAGGAGCCAAAACGCUGUUUUUGUUCUGCACUUGAUAAUAAAGCUGCC